UCGAGAAUCUUCGGCAAUGGGCGAAAGCCUGACCGAGCGACGCCGCGUGUGGGAUGAAGGCCUUCGGGUUGUAAACCACUGUCGUAGAGGAGGAAAUUGGCCGGGGUUCUCCCCGGUUAUUGACCUAUUCUAGGAGGAAGGACGGGCUAAGUACGUGCCAGCAGCCGCGGUAAUACGUACCGUCCAAACGUUAUUCGGAAUUACUGGGCUUAAAGGGUUUGUAGGCGGCGCUGUUAGUCGGGUGUGAAAUCCCACGGCUCAACCGUGGAAUUGCGCCCGAUACUGCAGUGCUUGAGGGAGACAGAGGUAAGCGGAACUGAUGGUGGAGCGGUGAAAUGCGUUGAUAUCAUCAGGAACACCGGUGGCGAAAGCGGCUUACUGGGUCUCUUCUGACGCUGAGAAACGAAAGCUAGGGGAGCGAAGGG
rnacentral:rRNA from 1 species